rnacentral:rRNA from 1 species
UACGUAGGGUGCGAGCGUUUGUCCGGAAUUACUGGGCGUAAAGAGCUCGUAGGUGGUUUGUCGCGUUGUCCGUGAAAACUCACAGCUUAACUGUGGGCGUGCGGGCGAUACGGGCAGACUGGAGUACUGCAGGGGAGACUGGAAUUCCUGGUGUAGCGGUGGAAUGCGCAGAUAUCAGGAGGAACACCGGUGGCGAAGGCGGGUCUCUGGGCAGUAACUGACGCUGAGGAGCGAAAGCGUGGGGAGCGAACAGG